GCAUUAGUAGCUCAGGCGGAGAGCAUCGGCCUUGUAAGCCGAAGGUCAGGGGUUAGUUUCCCCUCUUUUGCU
rnacentral:tRNA from 1 species